AGUCGACGGUACAGGAAUCAGCUUGCUGAUUUGCUGACGAGUGGCGGACGGGUGGGUAAUGUCUGGGAAACUGCCUGAUGGAGGGGGAUAACUACUGGAAACGGUAGCUAAUACCGCAUAACGUCGCAAGACCAAAGAGGGGGACCUUCGGGCCUCUUGCCAUCGGAUGUGCCCAGAUGGGAUUAGCUAGUAGGUGGGGUAACGGCUCACCUAGGCGACGAUCCCUAGCUGGUCUGAGAGGAUGACCAGCCACACUGGAACUGAGACACGGUCCAGACUCCUACGGGAGGCAGCAGUGGAGAAUAUUGCACAAUGGGCGCAAGCCUGAUGCAGCCAUGCCGCGUGUAUGAAGAAGGCCUUCGGGUUGUAAAGUACUUUCAGCGGGGAGGAAGGGAGUAAAGUUAAUACCUUUGCUCAUUGACGUUACCCGCAGAAGAAGCACCGGCUAGCUCCGUGCCAGCAGCCGCGGUAAUACGGAGGGUGCAAGCGUUAAUCGGAAUUACUGGGCGUAAAGCGCACGCAGGCGGUUUGUUAAGUCAGAUGUGAAAUCCCCGGGCUCAACCUGGGAACUGCAUCUGAUACUGGCAAGCUUGAGUCUCGUAGAGGGGGGUAGAAUUCCAGGUGUAGCGGUGAAAUGCGUAGAGAUCUGGAGGAAUACC
rnacentral:rRNA from 1 species